AAACCCCUAUAAAAAAUCUAAUCCAACCAAAGUGUUCACCUCUUUCUCCUCUUCAUUUCUAUGUCAUUUUUCAAGGAUUAAAUCAAGAUCUCUUGUUCAAUCACCAUAGGCUCUAAGUAAACGUGAUUUCUAACUGCUUUAAGGUGUAAAAGUGCUUUUGGAAGCUUGUUCUUGGUUCAAUUCUUGGCAGCUGUAAAGGAGAUGGAAGCAUAAGUACCCUUCCGUAGUUCGCUGAUGACGUUUCACUUGACUUGAGUUUUGAAGACCUAGAACAUUCUUUCCCUCGCUUUAGUAUAUUAGAGGGACUAGGUGAGUAUAGAGUCUAGGCUAGCUUGGGUGCCAGUUUAGGGACUACUUGAAUAGAUCAGGCCUGGGAUGUUGUAUGUAUAUAUAUGUAUAUAUUUAUUACCUAGCUACUUGUACGGGUGUUCUAACUAAGAUCUAUGAUCUAAUAAAGGCUGGA